rnacentral:rRNA from 1 species
AACGAACGCUGGCGGCAGGCUUAACACAUGCAAGUCGAGCGCCCCGCAAGGGGAGCGGCAGACGGGUGAGUAACGCGUGGGAAUCUACCCAUCUCUACGGAAUAACGCAUGGAAACGUGUGCUAAUAACGUAUACGUCCUUCGGGAGAAAGAUUUAUCGGAGAUGGAUGAGCCCGCGUUGGAUUAGCUAGUUGGUGGGGGAAAGGCCUACCAAGGCGAAGAUACAUAGAUGGUCGGAGAGGAUGAUCAGCCACACUGGGACUGAGACACGGCCCAUACUCCUACGUGACUCAGCAGUGAGGAAUAUUGGACAAUGGGCGCAAGCCUGAUCCAGCCAUGCCGCGUGAGUGAUGAAGGCCCUAGGGUUGUAAAGCUCUUUCACCUUUGAAGAUAAUGACGGUAACCGGAGAAGAAGCCCCGGCUAACUUCGUGCCAGCAGCCGCCGUAAGAC